GAGACUGGGAUAACACCUGGAAACAGAUGCUAAUACCGGAUAACAACACUAGACGCAUGUCUAGAGUUUAAAAGAUGGUUCUGCUAUCACUCUUGGAUGGACCUGCGGUGCAUUAGCUAGUUGGUAAGGUAACGGCUUACCAAGGCAAUGAUGCAUAGCCGAGUUGAGAGACUGAUCGGCCACGUUGGGACUGAGACACGGCCCAAACUCCUACGGGAGGCAGCAGUAGGGAAUCUUCCACAAUGGACGCAAGUCUGAUGGAGCAACGCCGCGUGAGUGAAGAAGGGUUUCGGCUCGUAAAGCUCUGUUGGUAGUGAAGAAAGAUAGAGGUAGUAACUGGCCUUUAUUUGACGGUAAUUACCUAGAAAGUCACGGCUAACUACGUGCCAGCAGCCGCGGUAAUACGUAGGUGGCAAGCGUUGUCCGGAUUUAUUGGGCGUAAAGCGAGUGCAGGCGGUUCAAUAAGUCUGAUGUGAAAGCCUUCGGCUCAACCGGAGAAUUGCAUCAGAAACUGUUGAACUUGAGUGCAGAAGAGGAGAGUGGAACUCCAUGUGUAGCGGUGGAAUGCGUAGAUAUAUGGAAGAACACCAGUGGCGAAGGCGGCUCUCUGGUCUGCAACUGACGCUGAGGCUCGAAAGCAUGGGUAGCGAACAGGAUUAGAUACCCUGGUAGUCCAUGCCGUAAACGAUGAGUGCUAAGUGUUGGGAGGUUUCCGCCUCUCAGUGCUGCAG
rnacentral:rRNA from 1 species